CAAUGCGCCAGCACACGCUGCACAUGCGUUGCCCUCAAUUCAUGCAUUCACAAGAAUCCUACUGAUUCCGCGCCGUGACAAGAAGAGCUUCCCAACGCGCGUCUGCCACGGCCGCACGGUCACGGGCUCUCGUGUAUUCGUCCUAUCAGGGGGCAUCACAAUUCACGAGCUCGUGAGACGCAUUCGGGCAAUGGCGGUAGCCCAUAGUUGUAGCUGCUGCUUGCAGGUGGUGCUGCUCUGGGCGGCGCUGUGGCCGGCGCUCUCGCUGUGGACGGUCGCUUUAGCGGCCACGGCCGUGCCGGCAAAGCUCAAGGCCGCGCCGGCGCCGGUGGUGGCCGGGCCGGUGUCCAGAGUGGAGGACGCUAGGAUGUUUCAGAUUUACUACGGCCGGAGCUUCAAGGUCAUUAAGAACUCAGGCGACGGCAAGAGCUACCUUCUCAUGCAGAACACGUCCAAGAUGGCAGCCAAAACGAAGUACUGCACGGGUAGGAUCAAGUCGUUCGUCAUCCCCCUCGCCAACUUCUCUGUCGACACCACGGCUUCUCCAGUGUCAUUCUUUGAGCUACUUGGAGUGCUAGAAAGUUUGAAGGGAAUAACAUCAAACCAAGUUGCUUCUCAGUGUGUCCUCCAAUCGUACACAAGUGGAAAUACCCAACUUGUUAAUAGGACUGAUGCACAGACACUCUCGAAGUUUAGUGCAGAAUUCAUAAGCAAUAUAGAUGAAGAUAAAGGUUGCAACUUUGCAGCAUAUGUACCCUUGGAAGAGGAUACACCAUUGCAGAGGGCUGAGUGGAUCAAGUACUUGGGAACUUUCACAAAUUCUGAAGACAGGGCAAAUGCUGUCUAUGAUGCAAUAAAGAGAAACUACUUGUGCUUAAGCAAAGCAGCAGCAAACCUUAGCACGAGAUUCAAGCCUAUAGUAGCGUGGAUUGAAUACACACAGGGAAUGUGGACAUUCGUCAAAGAAAGUUAUGCCUUACAGUACGUCACAGAUGCAGGAGCAGAAAUUGUCGAUGCAACUAUUACAAAUAAGAGAUUUAAUAGUUCAGAUUCAGAGGAUAUGGACAACUUUCAUGCUAUUCUUUGUACAGUGGACGUGGUAAUAGAUCAGACAUAUGCUUUGGAGCCUGCAGAGUACAAACUAUCCACGUUUUUGGAGAAUAUUAAUGUUAGCCAUGACUCCUGUUUUAGUUUUGUAUCAAACCGCAGCAUAUGGAGGUUUGACAAAAGGAUAGGAGCUUCUGGGACACUUGGUAAUAGAAGCAUUCUUAUUGCUAAACUCCAGAUUCAUAUCUUUCACUCGUUUAAUGAUCCAAUCGAUUUUUCCAUCACAAAGAAAUGGUAUAAUAGACAUUGUCCUUCUUUUUCCUUAAGAUUGGUAUGAUGGCGCUAUCUCCCAGCCCCAGUUGGUUCUUGGAGAUCUAAUAGAAGUUUUCUUCCCAACGGGGAACUACACAACAAUUUACUUCAGGAACCUUGCAAAGGAAGAAGGGGUCACUGAGAUUGGCCCUGAAAUGUGCACUAGGAGCAUGUCCGCGCCCAUGGAGCCUAUAACCCUGCCCUGCCAAUGAUAGCCCAGAUGAACACAAAGACUUUUCAAGCUUACUUGGCAACUAGUUGAUAGAAUGAUUUUAAGUUACUGACAAACUGAUCUGAACACAAGGGAACUAUAAAAGAAAGAAGUGGAAUAAGAAUCAAAGUAAGAAAAGUCGGCAACGUGUUGCCAUGUGAAAAUAAUACAGUACAUUUUCUAUCAUAAAUCAUAUUAUGGCUCUG